AGAACGAACGCUGGCGGCAGGCUUAACACAUGCAAGUCGAACGAUGUAGCAAUACAUAGUGGCGCACGGGUGAGUAACGCGUGGGAAUGUACCUUAUAGUGGGGAAUAACUUUGGGAAACUAGAGCUAAUACCGCAUACGCCCGAAAGGGGAAAGAUUUAUCGCUAUAAGAUCAGCCCGCGUGAGAUUAGGUAGUUGGUGGGGUAAUGGCCUACCAAGCCUACGAUCUCUAGCUGGUCUGAGAGGAUGAUCAGCCACACUGGAACUGAGACACGGUCCAGACUCCUACGGGAGGCAGCAGUGGGGAAUAUUGGGCAAUGGAGGAAACUCUGACCCAGCCAUGCCGCGUGAAUGAUGAAGGCCUUAGGGUUGUAAAGUUCUUUCGCCGAUGAAGAUAAUGACGGUAGUCGGAGAGAAGCCCGGCUAACUCGUGCCAGCAGCCGC
rnacentral:rRNA from 1 species